CGUGCGUUAGAUCGAAAUGGCAAGGCGGGAUUUGUUUCUAGGCUUGUCUGCUUGGUUUUCUACUUCAGUUGCCUGUCAAACUCGGCAAAUAUGGAUUGCUGGAAAAGGAAUCAUUGUUGAUAAUACAUCAAAGGCAAACUUUUUGUUCAGUGAUGAUUCGUCUGCUGACGAUACAGUAAGUAUACACAAAUCAGACGAGUACCAACGUGGAGAAGUGACUCUGUUUGCGAGCCAGUGGAUUCAUGCUGUCGUGGUUGCAGAUGGUUGUGAUUUGGUAGCUAUUGGACCUUAUGUGAUGGGUCCAUCUGUUAUCAAAGAUUUGGAUGCAGCAGAGCAUAAGAAAUCAAAGAUGACAACAGAAUCAGUACUUCUCAAUCAUUCUUGCAUUGGAAAUUUAAAAGAUGGGACUACAGGAGAAGCCUGUAUCGAACACAGUUAUGCAACGUUAUGCAAUUGGGAUGUAACACCUCGUGGUACUGUACGACCGACCUGCUGUCAGUACAACCGCAUAACACGUGACCAAUAAAUGUCCUGUAUGUUUAAUAUGGUGGGCGUGAAUCAAGCUGCAUAGCUAUGGCACACAGGGUAUUGAAGCAUUGAAGUUUUGGCACAUCUUUGCAUUCCUGAUGCUCAAUUGCUGGAGUUUAUGCCCAACCAAGAUGGCUGCAGAGUUACAGUGAAAGCUCAAGAAGGAUUUUGUUGAUCUUUCUCAUAGUAUGAACAGAAACAUCAGCAAUGUCAUAUAAGACAGUAUUUAUGUAAGCAAUGCGUACACAUCACUGAUUAUGUCUCUACAUAUUAAGAUGUAACGUUUUAAUAUUUAUUUUGGCAACUAAAUAAUUGAAACAAUAAU